GCGCUAGACAAAACGGUGCCGUUUAAGUUAGGUUUUUUUUCUUCAAAUAAACACAGAAAACCACAACAAACAGAAAUACUACUCACUCUAAGCAGCCAUAGCAGAGCCACGCUUCUCCGCCGCACCCUAACCGCCGUCCGUUGCGCCCUCCCUCCGGUAUCCGUUGCUCCUUUCCUCCGGCAGCCGUUGCUCCUUUCCUCCGGCAGCCGUUGCUCCUUUCCUCCGGCAGCCGUCGCUCCUUUCUUCCGGCAGCCGUUGCAUCAUCUUACCUCCGUCACAUUCGGUUCUACCGAUUUUAUUAG